rnacentral:lncRNA from 1 species
UUGUACCUCAGAAUAUCCUUCAACUAGCAAGACAAUCGAUGGUUUUAAAAAUUAGUGACUAGUUUCCUGUUUUCUUAUGUCAGAACUCCACUCUAGGUAAAGUAAUUUUGUUUUUUGUUUUUAGGCGAAAAGAAAACGAAGAGUCACUUGGUGCUUUGGCAAAAUUAACAAAAUGAAGGACUCAAACUAUGUAAAUGAAUUUAGUAUGCCAGCAAAUGUGACAACAAGGAGACACAGGAGCGCCGUCACUGUGUUGGGGGAAAUCGAUGAGUCUCUCUGUUUGGAGUCUGAUUUCUUCUGCAAUACUCCUGAUACAUUAACUGAGAUAGAGUGGAAUUCAGCAACAAAGCUACUAAAUGAGGUAACAUUUUAUAGAACGUGAUCUUAUGUUGGUUUUUGUGGUUUUGUUUAGCUCCUCUCUAGUUCUGACUUAAUAGCAGUUUGAGUUCUAAUGAAGAUUUCCCUCACCUUUUUGUCUAGUGAAAACUACAAGACAUUUAGAGAGAGUCU